AGUGAACGCUGGCGGUAGGCCUAACACAUGCAAGUCGAACGGCAGCACAGUAAGAGCUUGCUCUUACGGGUGGCGAGUGGCGGACGGGUGAGGAAUACAUCGGAAUCUACUUUUUCGUGGGGGAUAACGUAGGGAAACUUACGCUAAUACCGCAUACGACCUACGGGUGAAAGCAGGGGAUCUUCGGACCUUGCGCGAUUGAAUGAGCCGAUGUCGGCUUAGCUAGUUGGCGGGGUAAAGGCCCACCAAGGCGACGAUCCGUAGCUGGUCUGAGAGGAUGGUCAGCCACACUGGAACUGAGACACGGUCCAGACUCCUACGGGAGGCAGCAGUGGGGAAUAUUGGACAAUGGGCGCAAGCCUGAUCCAGCCAUACCGCGUGGGUGAAGAAGGCCUUCGGGUUGUAAAGCCCUUUUGUUGGGAAAGAAAAGCAGCAGGUUAAUACCCCGCUGUUCUGACGGUACCCAAAGAAUAAGCACCGGCUAACUUCGUG
rnacentral:rRNA from 1 species